AAAAACAUUUCCUCUUGGUAUAAGAGGUAAGGCCUGCUCACUGACUAGGUUGAAGAGCCGCAGUAUAUUGACUGUGCUAAGGUAGCAUAAUCAUUAGUCCUUUAAUUGGGGACUGGUAUGAAUGGCUAAACGAGAAAUUAGCUUUCUUUGUUAUGGUUUGUUGAAUUUAACUUGUAAGUGAAAAGGCUUACAUGAUUCAGAAAGACGAGAAGACCCUAUAGAGUUUUACAAAGGCCUAAAAUACAGCUUAUUAGUUUUUAAGGGUUAUAUUUUGGAAAUUUGUUUGGUUGGGGCGACAUAAAGAUAAAAAAAACUCUUUGUAGUAUAAACUUUGGUGGAAGAAAAGGUUUGAUCCUCUAAAAAGGAUUAUAAGAAAAAAUUACCUUAGGGAUAACAGCGUAAUCUUCUUUUAGAGUUCAAAUCGACAAGAAGGUUUGCGACCUCGAUGUUGGACUAAAAUUUGGGCAAGGUGCAGCAGCUUUGUUUUUGGGUCUGUUCGACCCGUAAUAUUUUACAUGAUCUGAGUU
rnacentral:rRNA from 1 species